rnacentral:rRNA from 1 species
AUGAACGCUGGCGGCGUGCUUAACACAUGCAAGUCGAACGGUGAACACGGAGCUUGCUCUGUGGGAUCAGUGGCGAACGGGUGAGUAACACGUGAGCAACCUGCCCCUGACUCUGGGAUAAGCGCUGGAAACGGCGUCUAAUACUGGAUACGAGUAGCGACCGCAUGGUCAGCUACUGGAAAGAUUUAUUGGUUGGGGAUGGGCUCGCGGCCUAUCAGCUUGUUGGUGAGGUAAUGGCUCACCAAGGCGUCGACGGGUAGCCG